UGGGCAGACGUUAGGGUUGCAGACUUCUGUUUAUCCACAGGACAGACAAUGGCUGUGCAAGCUUCCCCCGCUGUGUCCUUGCCAGCAUGCAUCAACCCUGCUCUGGAAGUGCCUCAUCUCUGCGGGUGAGAUGGGAGAUUGGCCUUCAUGGCCCAUUCCCUCCUUGGCCUCU
ensembl:misc_RNA